UACGCAUGCUCCUCGAUUAUGAUCGAUGAUCAAAAUGCAUCUCCAUGCUGAUUUUCAUGUGUGCUCCUUAGUUACGGCCAAAGAUCGGUACGCAUCUCCAUGUUGGUCACCAUGGUCUUUGUGCAUGCUCCUUGACUACGGUGAGGAUCAGUAUGUGUCUCCAUGCUGGUCUUCAUAAUCUCCACAUGCGCUCUUCAACUAUGGUUGAGGAUCGAUAUGCAUCUCCAUUCUGAUCUCCAUGGUCUCCGUGCAUGCUCCUCGACUACGACCGAGGAUUGAUAUGUAUCUCUAUGCUAGUUUCCAUGAUCUCCACAUAUAUUCCUCGACUAUGGUUGAGGAUCGGCAUGCAUCUCCAUACUGGUUUUCAUGAUCUCUGUGUGCACUCCUCGACUACAAUCAAAGAUUGGUACGUAUCUCCAUACUAGUCUCCAUGGUCUCUGUGCGUGUUCUUUGGCUAUGGUCGAGGAUUAGUAUGCACCUCCAUGAACUCUACCAUGCAGUCCUCGGCCAUUACUGAGGAUUAAUAUAUGCUGCCAUACGAACUCUCCUACACCUGGAUUUUUAACACUUGGUCCUCGGCCAAGCGAUCACACCCC
rnacentral:lncRNA from 1 species